AUGCAUCGAGAGGUUCUACUUUGUUUGAAUAGAAAACAAUCCUGUGUGCUGAAGGCCCUGGUAGGCGGCAGAGGGCUUCACAUCUUUUGUUCGAACAAUGCUAUUAUUUGCAACUGUACGACCACUUUGUUACUUGCAUGUUCUGUUUCUUUGCUUAGUGUUCCGUUUAGUCGUUCCUGCAUGUUUUUCUUCCCGUUCAUGCUUUUAUAUUGUAUAAGUUGUGCUACGUUGCUCUUCUUCAUUUAUGCAUUUGCUGCACUAUGGCACCUCAAGCGUCAGCAAAAAGAUAUUACAUUUGGUCUUUGA
rnacentral:rRNA from 1 species